GCCGUAAACGUUGGGCACUAGGUGUGGGGGACAUUCCACGUUUUCCGCGCCGUAGCUAACGCAUUAAGUGCCCCGCCUGGGGAGUACGGCCGCAAGGCUAAAACUCAAAGGAAUUGACGGGGGCCCGCACAAGCGGCGGAGCAUGCGGAUUAAUUCGAUGCAACGCGAAGAACCUUACCAAGGCUUGACAUGGACCGGAUCGCUGCAGAGAUGUAGUUUCCCUUCGGGGCUGGUUCACAGGUGGUGCAUGGUUGUCGUCAGCUCGUGUCGUGAGAUGUUGGGUUAAGUCCCGCAACGAGCGCAACCCUUGUCCUAUGUUGCCAGCACGUAAUGGUGGGGACUCAUGGGAGACUG
rnacentral:rRNA from 1 species